rnacentral:tRNA from 1 species
GCCCAGCUAGCUCAGUCGGUAGAGCACAAGACUCUUAAUCCCAGGGUCGUGGGUUCACAGCCCACAUUGGGUG